UGUAAGCGUAUACCAAAGUUGUUGCAGUUAAAACGCUCGUAGUCGGAAUUUGGCAGUUCCGGAUGUGUGCACGUCGUGUGCGCACUUCGCGGGGAUUGCUUUUGUGGUCUUGCGUAGGAUGAGGCACUUUUAUUAGUGUACGUCCUCACGCAACCACUUUUUACUGUGAGAAAAUCAGAGUGCUCAAAGCAGGCAUUUGCCGUGAAUGUAUUAGCAUGGAAUAAUAGAAUAGGACUUGGUUCUAUUUUGUUGGUUUGUUGGGACUGAGUAAUGAUUAAGAGGGACAGUUGGGGGCAUUUGUAUUUCGGUGCUAGAGGUGAAAUUCUUAGAUUACCGAAAGACAAACUGCUGCGAAAGCGUCUGCCAAGGAUGUUUUCAUUGA
rnacentral:rRNA from 1 species